GACGAACGCUGGCGGCGUGCUUAACACUUGCAAGUCGAACGGAAAGGCCCUGCUUUUGUGGGGUGCUCGAGUGGCGAACGGGUGAGUAACACGUGAGUAACCUGCCCUUGACUUUGGGAUAACUUCAGGAAACUGGGGCUAAUACCGGAUAGGAGCUCCUGCUGCAUGGUGGGGGUUGGAAAGUUUCGGCGGUUGGGGAUGGACUCGCGGCUUAUCAGCUUGUUGGUGGGGUAGUGGCUUACCAAGGCUUUGACGGGUAGCCGGCCUGAGAGGGUGACCGGCCACAUUGGGACUGAGAUACGGACCAGACUCCUACGGGAGGCAGCAGUGGGGAAUAUUGCACAAUGGGCGGAAGCCUGAUGCAGCAACGCCGCGUGCGGGAUGACGGCCUUCGGGUUGUAAACCGCUUUCGCCUGUGACGAAGCGUGAGUGACGGUAAUGGGUAAAGAAGCACCGGCUAACUACGUG
rnacentral:rRNA from 1 species